UUGCAGUUAAAAAGCUCGUAGUUGGAUGUCUAGCUUUGCGCGGACGGCCCGCCUUCGGGUUGAGUGCUGGAAGCGCUAGCUUGUUUUCCGGUUUGUGUCCCUUCCCUUGACUGUGGCGGGGUUCACGAUCCGGAUCUGUUACUUUGAAGAAAUUCGGGUGUUCAAAGCAGGCUUAUGCCGUGAAGACUGCAGCAUGGAAUAACAACAUAGGGCUAUCGCGUCUCAUUUUGUUGGUUCUAGGAUCGUAGCAAUGAUUGAUACGGACCGUUGGGGGUGCUGCUAUUCCGCGGCCAGAGGUGAAAUUCUCAGAUUCCCGGAAGAGCAACUUAUGCGAAAGCGUUCACCAAGGAGGUCCUGUUUAAUCAAGAACGAAAGUUGGGGGAUCGAAGACGAUCAGAUACCGUCGUAGUCUCAACCAUAAACUAUGCCGACUAGGGAUUGGAG
rnacentral:rRNA from 1 species